CCCUCCUCUCAUCUUUCCCACUCUGCAUCCCUCUCGCUUCUUCUGGCUGCCCUAAGUUAGAAUGAGGAAAGAACUCAAGAGCUCACAGAUUGGCAGUGAUCACAAGAAUAGCACUGCAAGUGUGUUGAAAGGACACUGAGGACUGACAUUCCCCAAGCAACCAAUGUUGGCAGCACUUCACCUCCAUGAUGGAUCCUGGGAAUAUCCCAAUGGCUUGUUAUCUACCUGUUGGCGGUCCUGAGGGCAAGCCAAGUGGGAGCGCUCGACGGGGAACAAAUGAGAACAGAAGGAAGAGAAGAGUUAAAUGUGCAUCUUUGGGAUUGUCUUUCUAAGUUGGGAAGUGGGAAUGACUGGUGCCAAGUAUCACGGUACCUCAGAGAACUGACUCAUAAUACACAUGAAGGCUGACUGAGCGUGACUGAAUCCUGAGGGGGUGUUGGCCAAGAGAACAGACAGAGAAGCUACAGUUCAAGAAGGAGCUCUUGUGACAUGAAGAUGAGAACAACUGCAAAUGUACAUCAAAUGUUCUCUAAGGAGGAUUGGAAAGAGUGGCUUGCCUAGCUGUGGAGCAGCUGCCUUCUCAAGAAGGGCUGUACUUUCCAUCAAAGAUGGUGGACACAAUGGCGUCAUGAAGUGUCCAUGAGAAUGAGAGCAUGGCUCCAGAGAAGUGGAAACUUGCAGACAGCACAGGCACAGUUGUGAAUCCUGUGGGAUAGAAAAGAAAAGAAUCAAAGAUAUGAGUGACAACUCCCAGAAGCAGCAAGCACAUCCCAGGAAAGGAACUAGCAAACCUUCUUUCCUUCCUCACCACUAAACAUUCAAGAAACAAGAAGUGGGCUUGUGGUUUCCUUGGGCUUUGUUUUUGUUUUGCCUUUGCCUUUGUGCCUCAGG